GAUUCAUGUUCUCCACGCCUAGAUUGGUCACUGUGAGGAAGCCAAAUCGGAUCCGAGAGUCUUUUUCUAAAGGCCAGUACUGGCCACACUUUCUCCUGCCGCCUUCCUCAAAGCUGAAGACACACAGAGCAAGGCUUCUUCUGUUUUACUCCCCAAUGGUAACUCCGAACCACAGAUCUUAGCUCCCUGCUCAUCUCUCCACGUCCCUGCUAUUCAGUGUGGUCUCUGGACCAAUCACACCAGCAUUGUAUGGGAGAGUGUAAGAAACAUGAAUCUGCACGUUAACAAGAUCUCCAGGAGAGUCAUAGAAAAUGAAGAGUGAAAUGGCCAGCUGAAAACCUCACUUCAAUAAAUGUUGCUGAGACAAGUGGAUAUCUACAUGUAGAAAAAUCAAGCUGACUCCUUCCUCACACCAUGCACAAAAAUUGACUCAAAAUGGAUCACAGACCAAAUGUAAGAGUUAAAAUUAUCAGCAUAAAAUAUAAGAGUAAAUCUUUGUGACCUUGGUUUAGGCAAAGCCUUCACAGAUAUGACACCAAAGGCAUAAAUGACAAAAGAGAUAAAUUGGACUGUAUUAAAAUUAAAAUCUUUUGUGCUUCAAAAGUUUUAAAUUUUAAUAUCAAGGCCCCACAUAGUGGCUCAUGCCUGUAAUCACAGCACUUUUGGAGGCCAAGGCAGGUGGAUUACUUGAGGCCAGAAGUUUGAGACCAGCCUGACCAACAUGGUAAAACCCCAUCUCUACUAAAAAUACAAAAAUUAUUUGGGUAUGGUGGCAUGCACCUGGAAUCCCAGCUACUCAGGAGGCUGAGGCACAAGAAUCACUUGAACUCAGGAGGUAGAGAUUGCAGUGAGCCAAGAACAUGCUACUGCACUCCAGCAUGGGCAACAGAGUGAGACUGUAUCAAAAAACACAAAACAAAACUAAACAACACCAUCAAGAAAGUAAAACAACCCACAGAACACAUGUAUUUGGUAAGGGACUUGUAUCUAGAAUACAUAAAGAACUCUUGUAACUCAAUAAUUAAAACAUAAACAACCCAAUUUAAAAAUGGGCAAAAGAGAUGAACAGCUAUUUUUCCAAAGAAGAUAUAUGAAUAGCCAAUAAGCACAUGAAAAGAUCAUCAUUAGCCAUGAGGAAAAUGCAAAUAAAAACCAUGAGAUACAGCUGGGCAUGAUGGUUCACACCUAUAAUCCCAGUACUUUGGGAGGCUGAGGCAGAUGAUCAUGAGGUCAGGAGUUUGAAACCACCCUGUCCAAUAUGGUGAAACCCCAUCUUUACUAAAAAUACAAAAAAUUAGCUAGGCGUGAUGACACGCACCUGUAGUCCCAGCUGCUCUGGAGGCUGAGGCCAGGAACCCAGGAGGUAGAGGUUGCAGUGAACCAAGAUUGCGCCACUGCACGCCAGCCUGGGCAACAGAGCAAGACUGUCUCAAAAAAACAAAAAAAAAAACCCACAAGAUACUAAUUUAUACCCCCUAGGAUGACUACAGGUAUAAAAGAUGGAUAAUAUUGUUGGCAAGGAUGUGGAAAAACUGAAACCCUCAUACAUGUAUAUACAGUACUUAUACAUUGCUAGUGGUAAUGUAAAAUGGCACAGUUACUAUAGAAGACAGUCUGGUUGUUCCUGAAAAGAUUAAACAGUUACCAUAUGACCCAGCAGCCUGAGCAAAAUGAUAACAUGUGUCCAUACAAAAACUUAUACAUAAAUAUCCAUAGCAGCAUUAUUCAUAAUAGCCAAAAGUGGAAACAACUCAAAUGUCCUUCAACUGAAAUGAAUAAAAUGUUGUAUAUCCAUACAAUGGAGUAUUAUUUGGCAGUAAAAAGGAGUUAUGUGAUGAUAUAUGCUACGGCAUGGAUGAACCUAGAAAACAUUACACUAAGUGAAAGAAGCCAGACACAAAAAGCUACAUAUCUUAGGACUGUCUUUGUAUGAGAUCCCUAGAACAGGCAAAUCUAUGGAUAUAAGAAAUAAGCUAGGGUGGGUUAGAGGGAAGUGGGCAGUGACUGCCAAGGGUGUGUAUUUUCUCUGGGGAAUGAAAAAAAAUGUUCUAGUUGACUGUGGUGAUGGUUGCACAACUCUGUGACUAUACUAACAGCCACUGACUUGUAUACUUCAAAUAGGUCAACUGUAUGGUAUGUGAACUAUAUCUCAAUAGAAACUCUUAUUUACAAGAAAAGGGUCCAUCAGGACUUGCAACACUGUAGCACGGCAAGCAAGCAGGAACAUCUGGCCCAUCCUGCCAUACACAAAAGGCAACAUGUGAAUAGAGAAGGAAGAAAGCUACACCUCAUACAUGGGACCAUCAACAGGACAGGCCAAACAGCUAGACUCCAUUACUACCUCAAUUAACGCAAAGCAACUUCCAGUCAAAUUCAAAGGUGUCUCAAUUAACAGCUCCUGACUCUCUCUUCUAGAGUCUUCUCCUACCUCUUAAUGUCCUCAGACCUAUUUACUUCAACAUCAUUUUUUAUUAUACCUACUCACAAGAUCCUUUCAUCCAGGCUGAUAAAAGAGAAACAGUGAUCAGCUGCAGUUUCAUGCUGUAGUAUAGCUAGUUGAGAGAUGGACGGAUGUAGGAAGUAGAAUGGAUAAGGGAAGGUAUGAAGGGUUACAGAAGGAUAAAAAAAAGAAGUUUCAAUAGCAAACUACGGAAAACUGAUAACUCACUGUACUAUAGAGAGGUCAGACUGACUCUUUCCUCAACCUAUCACUCUUUCUCCAGUGGAUCCCAUCACUGGGAGGACAGUGUGAACUGUCAGUAUCCCAUAGCUAACCUCCUAAGAUAUCACCUCAUGGUCAAACCCAGGUUACUUGAAUUUGUGUCCAUUAACCGGUCAGUCUACCAAUUGAUCACUCUACUAUUUAUUUAGUCAAGAGUUUCCUCCUUAGAACCUAUAAAUAAAUAGUGGAAUGACAAACUCAGAGUUUUCCCUCCCACAGCAGCUAGUAUUACCCUCAUACUAUUACCAUCCUACCCUGAUUCAGACAACUUCACUGAGCUAAUAGACCACCUGCAGCAGACCCAGCAUGCUAAAAGCCUCACUAACUCCAAACAGGCUUCUCAAUCCAGGGUGCACCCAGUCAGCCAAAGCCCAUCCUCUACUCAACCUGACACAUAGAAAGGGCAUACCCUCUCUAGGACCAAGGGGAGAAGGUAUGGAAAAGUACAAAAGAUUUACCUGGUGUAUGCCAGUCAACAUUAGUAAGAACAUAAGUAGGAACUAAUUUCAUGCUUUAAACACAAAAGAAUUGUUACUUCUUUAAAGAAGACAUUGUUUAUUUUAUUUUAUUUUAUUUUUGAAACGGUCUUGCUCUGUCACCAGAGCCAGGCUGGAGUGCAGUGGCGUGAUCUUGGCUCACCGCAACCUCCGCCUCCUGGGUUCAGGCAAUUCUCCUGCCUCAGCCUCCUGAGUAGCUGGGAUUACAGGCAUGCGCCACCAUGCCCAGCUAAUUUUUUGUAUUUGUAGUAGAGACGGGGUUUCACCAUGUUGACCAGGAUGGUCUCGAUCUCUUGACCUCGUGAUCCACCUGCCUCGGCUUCCCAAAGUGCUGGGAUUACAAGCUUGAGCCACCACGCCCAGCCCAAUUUUUAUAUUUUUUAAUAGAGACAGGGUUUCACCAUGUUGGCCAGGAUGGUCUCAAUCUCUCGACCUUGUGAUCUGCCUGCCUCAGCCUCCCAAAGAGUUGGAAUUACAGGCGUGAGCCACUGCGCCCGGUCCAUUAUUUCUUUAUAAUUAAGAAUUACUAGCUUUAGCACUGGUCUCUGAGAGUGCUGAUUUUUAUUUCAUCUUUGGAAGAAUCAUUGCCUAUUAAAACUGAAAAUGACCCAGAGACAAAGUAUAUACUUGGGGGCAAAUUGUAAUAGUAUGAAGAACUAAACCCGGCACACUAUGUUAUGGGCCACUGCUAUAGACUGAAUAUUGUGUCCCCCAUGACUUCAAAUGUAUACACUGAAAUCCCAGCCCCUAACCCCCAAUGUAGUGGUACUAGGAGAUGGGGCCUUUGACAGGUGAUUAGGUCAUGAGGACCAUGAGGACAGAGCUCUCACAAAUGGGAUUAUUAUCUUUAUAAGAUAGAAGAGUUCUGAAGCACUCCCUCGGCCCUUCCCCUUAUGCCAUGGGAGGAUGCAGUGAGUACCUGGUGGUCAGUGAACCAAGAAAGGGGCCCUUGCUAGACCACAAAUCUGCCAGCAUGUUAGUCUUGGGACUUCCGAGACUCCACCAUAUUAAGAAAUAAAAUUUCUGUUGUUUUUAAGCCA